UCGUAACAAGGUUUCCGUAGGUGAACCUGCGGAAGGAUCAUUACCGAGUGAGGGCCCUUUGGGUCCAACCUCCCACCCGUGUUUAUUUUACCUUGUUGCUUCGGCGGGCCCGCCUUUACUGGCCGCCGGGGGGCUCACGCCCCCGGGCCCGCGCCCGCCGAAGACACCCUCGAACUCUGUCUGAAGAUUGAAGUCUGAGUGAAAAUAUAAAUUAUUUAAAACUUUCAACAACGGAUCUCUUGGUUCCGGCAUCGAUGAAGAACGCAGCGAAAUGCGAUACGUAAUGUGAAUUGCAAAUUCAGUGAAUCAUCGAGUCUUUGAACGCACAUUGCGCCCCCUGGUAUUCCGGGGGGCAUGCCUGUCCGAGCGUCAUUGCUGCCCUCAAGCCCGGCUUGUGUGUUGGGCCCCGUCCUCCGAUUCCGGGGGACGGGCCCGAAAGGCAGCGGCGGCACCGCGUCCGGUCCUCGAGCGUAUGGGGCUUUGUCACCCGCUCUGUAGGCCCGGCCGGCGCUUGCCGAUCAACCCAAAUUUUUAUCCAGGUUGACCUCGGAUCAGGUAGGGAUACCCGCUGAACUUAAGCAUAUCAAUAA
rnacentral:misc_RNA from 1 species